AACGCUGGCGGCGUGCUAAUACAUGCAAGUAGAACGCUGAAGGAGGAGCUUGCUUCUCCGGAUGAGUUGCGAGCGGGUGAGUAACGCGUAGGUAACCUGCCUGGUAGCGGGGGAUAACUAUUGGAAACGAUAGCUAAUACCGCAUAAGAGUAGAUGUUGCAUGACAUUUGCUUAAAAGGUGCAAUUGCAUCACUACCAGAUGGACCUGCGUUGUAUUAGCUAGUUGGUGGGGUAACGGCUCACCAAGGCGACGAUACAUAGCCGACCUGAGAGGGUGAUCGGCCACACUGGGACUGAGACACGGCCCAGACUCCUACGGGAGGCAGCAGUAGGGAAUCUUCGGCAAUGGACGGAAGUCUGACCGAGCAACGCCGCGUGAGUGAAGAAGGUUUUCGGAUCGUAAAGCUCUGUUGUAAGAGAAGAACGAGUGUGAGAGUGGAAAGUUCACACUGUGACGGUAUCUUACCAGAAAGGGACGGCUAGCUACGUGCCAGCAGCCGCGGUAAUACGUAGGUCCCGAGCGUUGUCCGGAUUUAUUGGGCGUAAAGCGAGCGCAGGCGGUUAGAUAAGUCUGAAGUUAAAGGCUGUGGCUUAACCAUAGUACGCUUUGGAAACUGUUUAACUUGAGUGCAAGAGGGGAGAGUGGAAUUCCAUGUGUAGCGGUGAAAUGCGUAGAUAUAUGGAGGAACACCGGUGGCGAAAGCGGCUCUCU
rnacentral:rRNA from 1 species